rnacentral:rRNA from 1 species
AUAACUUCCUCUAGAACACUAUAAAUACAGGCAUUGGGCCAAGGGAGGGGAGGUUGAAAGCUGAACAUUUCAAAGGGUAGAUGCUGCUGGAAUUAGGACUUCCAUUGUUAACUUGUGAGGAGAGAUUACCAUCCUUUCUUGUUGCCAUAUUGGAAGUGGGUGAGCUUGUCAAAGUAGAGGAAAUCUCUUGCUGGACCCUGGGAGGAGCUUGCACAACACCAAAGCUCAGGUUGUAAUGGUUCCUUUUUUGUUUCCUUAAUACAAAUAAGUCCAUUCUUCUCAAUGAUUUGUUGUUAAUGAAUUAUUUCAUGUACUCCUUGGUCUAUGUGAUGAAUAUGCUUUGUUUUAUGAUGAAUAUUUAGGUGUUAUGUAAUCGUUUGCUUUGUUAGUGUAUGCAGGUCUUAAAGUGAAGGAGGAGCUCAUCUGGAUCAGCAAGGCUGGACUGCUACAACAAGCGUUGGACCUAAGGUAAGAUCGGAAAACACCUGAUCUCUCAUAGAAUAAUGUGUGUUUAGAGAAGGAUUGCUCUUGUUUGGUUUGUUUGUCACUAGAGAGUCUUAGACUCCUAGGGAGGUUAGCUUUGUCCGCAAAAAUAACUCUUUCCACAUGACAGAGGGUGUGGCUACUCCAUUAAGCCGCGCCAUGGAAUCGGGAGCUCCAAGUGGGCCAUUUUUGGUAAGCAGAAAUGUCAAUGCAGGAUGAACCGAAAGUCAAGUUAUGGUGCCAAAUUGCGCGCUAACCUAGAUCCCACAAAGGGUGUUGGUUGAUUAAGACAGCAGGACGGUGGUCAUGGAAGUCGAAAUCUGCUAAGGAGUGUGUAACAACUCACCUGCCGAAUCAACUAGUGCUGAAAAUGGAUGGCACUGAAGCGUGCAACCUAUACUUGACCAUCGGAGCAAUUUCCUGGCUCUGAUGAGUAGGAGGACGCAAGGGUCGUUGAGAAACCUCGGGUGUGAGCUUGGGUGGAUCGGCCCCUGGUGCAAAUCUUGGUGGUAGUAGAAAAUAUUCAAAUGAGAAAUUUGAAGAUUGAAAUGGGGAAAGGUUCCAUGUGAACAGCACUUGGACAUGGGUUAGUCCAUCCUAAGAGAUGGGGAAGCCUUGUAUCAAGGGUGCACUCUGCACGAGCAUUGAAAGGGAAUCGGGUUAAUAUUCCCGAACUGGGACAUGGCGGCGGGCGGUAAUGUUAAGAAAUCUGGAGACGUCGUUGGGGGCCCUGGGAAGAGUUAUCUUUUAUUUUUAACAUCUUGCCCACCGUGGAAUUGGUUCACCCGUAGAUAGGGUCCAGUAGUUGGAAGAGCACCACACAUCUUGCGGUGUUCGGUGCACCCUUGGCGGCCCUUGAAAAUCUGGAGGACCGAGUACCAUUCAUGCCCAGUCGUACUCAUAACCGCAUCAGGUCUCCAAGGUGAACAACCUCUGGUCAAUAGAACAAUGUAGGUAAGGGAAGUCGGAAAAACGGAUCUGUAACUUUGGGAAAAGGAUUGGCUCUGAGGGUUGGGCCUAGGGGUCUGUGCCCUCAACUCAUGGGCUGUUGGCAGUCUGCCUAAGCUGCUCUCACAGCGAGGGCAGGCAGUCGCGUGCCGAUUGGGCUACGAGCGUAGAAUGCCCCCUGCUGGGGGCUUUUCCCUAGGCGUCGAACAAUCGACUCAGAACUGGUACGGACAAGGGGAAUCCGACUGUUUAAUUAAAACAAAGCAUUGUAAUGGUCCCUGCAGAUGCUGACAAAAUGUGAUUUCUUCCCAGUGCUUUGAAUGUCAAAGUGAAGAAAUUCAACCAAGCACGGGUAAAUGGCGGGAGUAACUAUGACUCUCUUAAGGUAGCCAAAUGCCUCGUCAUCUAAUUAGUGACGCACAUGAAUGGAUUAACAAGAUUCCCAUUGUCCCUAUCUACUAUCUAGUGAAACCAUAACCAAGGGAACAGGCUUGGCAGAAUCAGUGGGGAAAGAAGACCUUGUUGAGCUUGACUCUAGUCUGACUUUGUGAAAUGACUUGAGAGGUGUAGAAUAAGUGGGAGCCAUUUUCGGCGCAAGUGAAAUACCACUACUUUUAACAUUAUUUUACUUAUUCUAUGGGGCGGAGACGGGGCACUACCCCUGUUUUUGGCCUUAAGGCACGUUUCGGCAGGUCGAUCCGGGCAGAAGACAUUGUCAGGUGGGGAGUUUGGCUGGGGCGGCACAUCUGUUAAAAGAUAACACAGGUGUCCUAAGAUGAGCUCAACGAGAACAGAAAUCUCGUGUGGAACAAAAGGGUAAAAUCUCAUUUGAUUUUGAUUUUUAGUACGAAUACAAACCGUGAAAUCGUGGCCUAUUGAUCCUUUAGAUUUUUGGAAUUUGAAGCUAGAGGUGUCAGAAAAGUUACCACAGGGAUAACUGGCUUGUGGCAGCCAAGUGUUCAUAGCGACGUUGCUUUUUGAUCCUUCGAUGUCGGCUCUUCUUAUCGUUGUGAAGCAGAAUUCACCAAGUGUUGGAUUGUUCACCCACCAAUAGGGAAUGUGAGCUAGGUUUAGACCGCCGUGAGACAUGUUAGUUUUACCCUAUUGAUGAACCGCACCGCAAUAAUAAUUCAACUUAGUACGAGAGGAACCGUUGAUUCACACAAUUGGUCAUCGCACUUGGUUGAAAAGCCAGUGGCAUGAAGCUACCAUAUGUCGGAUUAUGACUGAACACCUCGAAGUCAGAAUCCACGCUAGAAGUAGCUUUUGCCACUCUUCGACUGUAUCUCGACCCGCAUUAGGGUCGUCGCUUUGUCGCCCCCAGGGACCCGUGUCAUUUGCAAACCGCGACGUGAAGCAUCUCGGUCGAUGCAGCUUUGAAGUUCAAUUU